rnacentral:rRNA from 1 species
CACGUAGGUGGCGAGCGUUAUCCGGAAUUACUGGGCGUAAAGGGUCCGUAGGUGGCCUGGCAGGUCUGCUGUGAAAGCGCCCGGCUCAACCGGGCGAGGCCAGUGGAAACCGCCGGGCUCGAGUCGCGCAGAGGGUUCUGGAAUUCCCGGUGUAGUGGUGGAAUGCGUAGAGAUCGGGAGGAACACCAGAGGCGAAGGCGGGGACCUGGGCGCGGACUGACACUGAGGGACGAAAGCGUGGGGAGCGAACAGG